CUAUGGAUAGAGUGAUCCUGCUCGAUUGGCCGUUGGCGCAUGCCUACACAUGCAAGUCGAGCGGCUGGAAGCAAUACAGCUACGGGAACGGUUAGAUACAUAGAAUUGCCCUAAAGUGGGGAUAGCCCAGGGAAACUUGGAGGUAAUACGCAUGAUCUCGUGAGAGCAAGCAGGGACCGCCAAGCCUUGCGCUUUGGAGAAGCCUAUGUCGGAUUAGCUUGUGGUGAGGUAAUGGCUCACCAAGGCGACGAUCCGUAGCUGGUUUGAGAGAACGAUCAGCCACACUGGAACUGAGACACGGUCCAGACUCCUACGGGAGGCAGCAGUGGGGAAUAUUGGACAUAUGGGCGAAAGCCUGAUCCAGCAAUGCCGCGUGUGUGAAGAAGGCCUUCGGGUUGUAAAGCAAUUGAGGCAGGGAAGAAAAAAUCGGCGAUAACAUCGCCGAUCUUGACGGUACCUGAAGAAUAAGCACCGGCUAACUCUGUGCCAGCAGCCGCGGUAAUACAGAGGGUGCAAGCGUUAAUCGGAUUUACUGGGCGUAAAGCGUGUGUAGGUGGUUGGGAAAGUCAAUUGUGAAAUCCCUGGGCUCAACCCGGGAACUGCUUUUGAUACUGUCUGACUAGAAUUCGGUAGAGGGAGGCGGAACUCCAGGUGUAGCGGUGAAAUGCGUAGAUAUCUGGAAGAACACCAAUGGCGAAGGCAACCUCCUGGGCCUGAAUUGACACUGAGACACGAAAGCGUGGGGAUCAAACAGGAUUAGAUACCCUGGUAGUCCACGCCGUAAACGAUGAGCACUUUACGUCGGUUUGCUCUGCGAAUCGGUGUCGUAGCUAACGCGAUAAGUCCUCCGCUGGGAGAUCACGGCCGCAAGGUUGAAACUCAAAGGAAUUGACGGGGGCCCGCACAAGCGGUGGAGUAUGUGGUUUAAUUCGAUGCAACGCGAAGAACCUUACCUGGUCUUGACAUCUACGGAAGUCCGCAGAGAUGCGGAUGUGCCUUCGGGAACCGUAAAAAAAGAGCUAGCAUGGGUGUUCGUCAGCUCGUGUCGUGAGAUGUUGGUUCAGUCCCGCAACGAGCGCAACCCUUGUCCUUAGUUGCCA
rnacentral:rRNA from 1 species